UGUUUGCACCAUAGAGUUUGGAGACUCCUGUGGCAAUUUAUGCCCUGGAACUUAAGGGAACCUUCAGUUAAGCCAGAGGUACAUGGAAAUACCUUAUGCUAAAAGAGAGCCAGAAGAGCCACUGGAUCUGUUCUGCUGCCCAGAGCUCUGCAAUGAAGUGAGACAUACUGCCUGCUGCAAAGAAAAUGGAGGUGUGCCUGGGUCUUCAAACUAAAGCUUUGCAGACCAUGAAAACCACGGAUGCUGGGUG